GGUCUCAUGGUAUAAUGGCUAUUACUCCCCGCUUUGACCGGGGCAAUGUGUGUUCGAAUCACGCUGAGACUGCCA
rnacentral:tRNA from 1 species